AAACUCCACCAAAUCAAAGUACAUGCUAUCUACUUUAUUGUUUGUUUGUCCAUGUAAUUCAAAUCCCAAAUACAGAAAAUUAUUUUAAUUCUGUGUAAACUCUGCAUCAUGCUGCAGAACUGAUCAACAUUUGUGUGGUUCGGUGAUCGAUUGAAUUCUCAAUAAAUUUCUCAAGUCCAGUACAUCAUACUCCCGAUAC
rnacentral:lncRNA from 1 species